rnacentral:rRNA from 1 species
UUGGAGGGCAAGUCUGGUGCCAGCAGCCGCGGUAAUUCCAGCUCCAAUAGCGUAUAUUAAAGUUGUUGCGGUUAAAAAGCUCGUAGUUGAAUUUCAGGCCUGGCUGGACGGUCCGCCCUUCGGGUGAGUACUGUCUGUGGUCGGGUCCUACCUUCUGGCGAAGCGUCAUGGCCUUAACCGGCCGUGGCGGGGAACCAGGACUUUUACUGUGAAAAAAUUAGAGUGUUCAAAGCAGGCAAUCGCUUGGAUACAUUAGCAUGGAAUAAUGGAAUAGGACAAUGGUUCUAUUUGUUGGUUUCUAGGACCGUUGUAAUGAUUAAUAGGGAUAGUUGGGGGCAUUAGUAUUCAAUUGUCAGAGGUGAAAUUCUUGGAUUUAUUGAAGACUAACUACUGCGAAAGCAUUUGCCAAGGAUGUUUUCAUUAAUCAAGAACGAAAGUUAGGGGAUCGAAGACGAUCAGAUACCGUCGUAGUCUUAACCAUAAACUAUGCCGACUAGGAGUCGGGCGAUGUUGAAAAAAUGACGCGCUCGGCACCUUAUGGGAAACCAAAG